UAGGUACUCCCUCCGUCCGGAAAUACUUGUCAUCAAAAUGAAUAAAAGAGGAUGUAUCUAGAUGUAUUUUAGUUUUAGAUACAUCUCUUUUUAUCCAUUUUGAUGACAACUAUUUUCGGACGGAGGAAUACGUC
rfam:Triticum urartu cultivar G1812 contig641354, whole genome shotgun sequence.